rnacentral:lncRNA from 1 species
UGGGAACGACACUUCACUCAUCACUAUAUUACUUGUGCGAAUUGUGCGCUUGCAAUAAAUAUCACAAGUUUUUGGCGCCGUUGCCGGGGAGUGUUUUAAAUUUUAUUAAUAUCGAUAUAGAUUGAUUUGGAUUUUAAUUUGAAUUUUUUUUUGUUUUUUUAGGUACUUCACCUAGUGCAUGAGUUUCGGGAGACGUUCGCAGAGUCUUGUGCUUGUACCAUUAGAUCCAGAGAUCGAGCGAACGCUUCACAAGCUUAACAAACUCAAAAGGGGGAAGGACGCAAUAUUGGAAAAGCCAUCACCUAUGGCUGAGGAAGCAAAACCAGUAAGGGACUAUGAUGUCCCAUCUGUGGUGGCAUCACCAUCGAGCAUUCGUCGUCCAACCAUUGAUGCCAAUAAUUUUGAAAUCAG